rnacentral:lncRNA from 1 species
GGGCGGAAAAGGUUUGGUCCGAUCCUUGAUCGAAAAACUAUCAGUCCCAACUCCUAGUCGGCACGCUACACUUUCUGAUCUUUCUUUGGAAGCAGAUUAAUCAAGUUCAGAUUCAAAAGACAGAUGCCAACUGGCCAUAGCUAUCAAUACUAUUUGGGUGUAACCAUCUGAUCCUGAGAAUCUUUCACGUGUAACUACCUGAUCUUGAAAAUUACAACCAAAUAACCAUAUUAGAUUUGGCC